rnacentral:rRNA from 1 species
UACGUAGGUGGCAAGCGUUGUCCGGAUUUACUGGGCGUAAAGAGCGCGCAGGCGGUCGAUUAAGUCGAGUGUGAAAGCCCCCGGCUCAACUGGGGAGGGUCACUUGAUACUGGUCGACUCGAAGGCAGGAGAGGGAAGUGGAAUUCCCGGUGUAGUGGUGAAAUGCGUAGAUAUCGGGAGGAACACCGGUGGCGAAGGCGGCAUCCUGGACCAAUUCUGACACUGAGGAGCGAAAGCCAGGGGAGCAAACGGG